CUUUGGAACCGGAUACAGCCAUCACCUUCAAUGUGUAUAACUCCUGGGACUCACGGUCUAGUGCUGUCCGUACCCACAGCCACCCACUCUGUGACUCCAGGCCAAAGGGGCUACUGGCACCAUCUGCUGCAAGAUGACCACCUCCAUCCUGAGCCCCGAUCUCCAGCUGCACCACAGAAUUAGCCCGUCUGCCUAAGGGCCAGGCUACUGUCAACAGCCCUGGAGAAGGAAGAGAAGCAAACAUAGAUGGAGAAAAGAAGAGGGGAGAAGGUCCUGGAAAGAGGAGACAAUAUUUAGGACUAUACACACUCUGUUUGGCCUGCAACUUAGAGAGAAGAGGAAAAACACGGGGAGAAAUGGCAGGGAAGCUGAGUGGAGCACUCUGGCAGGAUGGCAAGAGCAGCGAAUUUGGAGGAAGGAAACCAGGUAUGAGCAGUCGGUAAUAAUGCAGGUUAGUGAGGGGAGAGCUGAAAGAAGAGAGAAAUGGAAGAUGGGAGGAGAUGAAGUGGACACGACCAGGCUAAGGACUCUGUAGGAUGGAGAAGCUCAACACUUUCCUGGGACUCUGACUUGAGUCAGGUGGUGAUAUUAGAGUACUGGAGAAGAAAAGCCACUUGGGAAGUACUUGUUGACAUCCCCACACAGGGAUGUCCCACGAAAACUUGGAUCGGCAGGCCAGGCUUCAGGAGAGAUAUGGAUGUGGACAACUGUGGAGUGACUGGGAUCUGUGGGUGUGGAGAUGCCAAUUUGAUAGGGGUAGAGAGUGAGAAGAAUCCAGGCCUAAACUCUACCAACAGUCACAAAAAAAAGGGAAGCUGAGGCCGGUCGUGGUAGUGCACACCUUUAAUCCCAGCACUCGGGAGGCAGAGGCCAGCAGAUUUCUGAGUUCGAGGCCAGCCUGGUCUACAAAGUGAGUUACAGGACAGCCAGAGCUAUACAGAGAAAACCUGUCUCGAAAACAAAAACAAAAAAACAAAAACAAAAACAAAAAACCCCAAAAACAAACAAACAAACAAAAACAGAAAGGGAAGCCGAGAGCUUUCCUCUUCCUGGAGGCAGCGUCUAAAAGUGAAGGAGGAACCUUCAAAAGGAGGCAAAGAUCAACCAUGCCUAAUGCUGUCAAGAGAGGCAGAGAUGGGUUGCAAGUAGCUGCUGAGUGUAGCAGUUAAGGUGUUGGAAAGAGCAGCAUCAGGAGAGUGGUCCUGCAGUGGGAAACCAGAGAGAAUGUGCCAACUCACACCAAGGCACAAACCAGAUUAGGCUCAGCAUAGAUAUUAAUGUGUGUUUACUGCAUUCCUACAACAGGGAGACUAUGUCCCAGGCAGCAGGGCAGGAGAGUGGCAUAGAUUCUAGCAAUACAACCUUUUUUUUUUUUUUUCCAUAUAGGGUCUUCUAUGGCUCAGGAUGACCCUGAACUCCUAAUUAUCCUAUCUCAGUCUCCUGAGUGCUGAGAUGAUAAACUCGAGUCUUCUUGCCUGAAUAACCUCUAAUGCCUUCAUUUCCUCAUCUGUAAAAUGUGAAUCAACGCACCUGCCUGACUGAUGUGAGAGUUAAAUGAAAUAGUGCAGACUCCUUAGCAUGAAUGCUUGGCUACUGCUCGCUGGUACUGCUACGUGAUGCACAUAUCAAACUGUGGGAUAAGUGCUAUUCCACAGACAAGGGAUCUGAGGCUGGGAGACAGGAACACAAAGACAUAUAGAAAUCAGUUUUGAUGGACAGCAAAGCUUUUUGCUAACCUAAUUGCCUCUCCGGUGCAAGGCUCAGAAAGCCAAGAUAACAGUUCCUGAACGGCAUGGAGUAAGGAACAACUGCCAAAGUUUAGCAGAAUCAAUCUGGCACUGUGCUUGGGGUGGGCUAUCAGAGGAAGAGCUCUCAGUAUAAGUUAACUGACACUCUGGGUUAGAGGCACGUGGGACCCCCAGGGUAUGAGGGUUGAGGGAACCUGGCAGCCUGAAGGCUUGUAGGAAUGAAAAAAAUGGGGACAGAAGGAGAGGAUACAGGGCAUGCGUGUGAUGUGAUUCAUGAAUAGAUGCAGUCAGCAAAUAUUUAAGGCCUACCAUGUGCCAAACUCGCCAAAUCCCAGAGAUAGAGCAGUGGCUCAGACAGAUCAGUCUCUGUGCCUGUGGUGUUUACCUGAGAACUGAUCCCCUAGAGCAGGACUCCAGUGAUCACUGCCCAGGUGGUGGAGGAGACUAAUGAAGUUGGGGGUGGCAGAAAAGGUGGAGACAGAAACUCAGAGGGUAUCAUGAAGGCAGAGAAGCUCAGCAAGAGAACUCAGAUGGUAGGUGGAAACUUCCAAGACCCAGCACAGAAGAAGUGAAAUACAGUGAGCUAAGUUAGUAGUUGAAAACUUGUCAAUUUUCUUUCUGAAUCUUCCAAAUAACUUUUUGAAGUAGAUGCCAGUACUCUUGUUUUCACCUGAGGAAAUGAAGCUCCAAAAAGCAUAGUCACCCAUUAGAAGGCCUGAGGUAUGGCUAUGCUUCCGUUCCCUUCUCUUCUCUUGUUCCUUCUCUUCUUCCUUCCUGAUCAGUUACAUGGAAGCCAGGUUCAAGCUUCUGACAGAUAACAAGCUCCUUCUACACACACACACACACACACACACACACACACACAGAGAGAGAGAGAGAGAGAGAGAGAGAGAGAGAGAGAGAGAGAAACAGACAAACAGACAGACAUAAACAAGUGUGUUUGAUGUGCUAACUGAGCAGGAAGGGGACAUCCUCACUCAGGCCUGGGGGCUCCAAGACCUUGAGAAAAGUCUUUCUCCAAGGGACACAUGGAACUGUAUGUCCCCCACCCCAAAUGGCAGAGGUUGAAAAUGUUCUCAUCUCAGAGAACCAGCUAGCAUCCAGAACUUCUGGGAGAGGCUUUUGCUGGUAGGCACCAGCAUCAGAGAGAAGAGAAUCCAGGCUGCCUUUUGUUGCCAGUGACAGGCAAGGUUUGGACCAGGAGGAGAGUAGAGGAAUCAGGGAAUCUAGGAUAGGAAGGAGAAGAAACUGAAAUGCCAGGAGCUGGGCUCAGGGUGGGCACUGGAGGAGGGAACAGUCAAAGGAUCCUAGGGAAGGGGUCUGGUAGAGUGGAGGAGAUGAUGAAGGCCUGUAGUGCCUUGUGGUCUAAGGAUAGGUGUGAUGAUUAAUCUCCACGACAACUUGACCUGGGUCUAUCUUCAAAGGUGUUUUCAAAGAGGUGUAACUGAGGAGGGUGUCAUCAUUCCAUAGGUUGGGUACCAGACUGAAUAAAAAGAAGAAAGUGAGAGAAGCACCAGCAUUUCCCCUUCUUCUUCCCUCCAUCCUUCCUUCCCUUUCUCCCUCCCUCCCUCCUUCCCUCCUUGCUCCUUUCCCCCCUCCUCUCCUUCCUGACUGUGUCUGCAGUGUGACCAGCCACCUCACUUUCCUGCUGUCAUGUCUUCCACACCACGAUGGCCCAUGCCCUCAAAGUGUAAGCCAAAAUAAACCCUUCCAUUCGCACAAGUUUCAUUUUGCUCAUGUUAUUCUGUCACGGUAAUGAGAAAAUCGAGCAAUAGAUCAUAGCUUACAGACAAGGGUCUCCAUGGACACAAGUUUGCUAAGUUCCAAUGCUUCUUAAAUAACUGCUGUGUGAAUGAAAGAAAUAAAGUAGAGGAAGAGGAUCCAGAAAAGAGAAACCCAGGGGGAAGAAGGGAGAAGGAAGAGGAGGAGGAGAGAGCCUGGGAUAAGAAAGGAGAGCUGUGGAGAGGCAGGGGAGUGUUUCUAGCAAGGUAAGAGGAGAGCUGGAGAGGAGGCAGUGUCAACAGGUUCCUGGUUUCACUUGCAGAGAUAAAGGACAGGUUACAGUGGGAAACAUCUCCAUCAGUGGGCAGCUGAGAAGAGGUGUCCAGAGAGGAAGGGAUGUGUUCCUGUGCUUGUGUUUGCUCUCUGUCAAGCCUGUGUAGGGAGCCAUGGGCCACAAAGAUGUUUGAUGUGCAACCUUGACAACAAGGAGUCCUAGCUUUGUUGGAGAAACAGAAUGAGGAGUCCCUGAUUUGUGAGAGGCAGUCGCAUGGGGGCCACAUUUGAAAGUGAGAAGGAUUAAGCAGGAAGCAGAAAGGAAGGGCCACUGGGCUGAUAGAGCAGGGUGUGCAAAGGUCCAAGGGCAUGGAAAGACACACUGUCAGUCAGUUGAUCGGUCUGUAGGUUGGGAACUACAAGGAACUCAGCAUAGCUUGAGCUCACAAUGUGAGGACGCUAGAGAAAUGGGACAAGCAAUGAGCUAGGGAGGUUGUGGGGAGAGCAGAUUAUGAUUCAUAAACCUUAUUUAAAAGUUGGGAUUUCCUGCAAGGGAAACAGAAUCGCUAGAAUGCAGCAAAAUGGCUGGAUUUGCAUUUUUAUUCAAGGCUUUCCUGCUGCAAUGAGAGGCACAGAUUGGAAGACAAAAGGGAGCUAUGGACCCAGGAGUGGGUCCCCACAAACGUCCAGAUGAAAGACUCUGAGGUAAGGGCAAGCACAGAGGCAGUGGAGGAAUGGCAUGAGACGCCAGACACUGCUGGAGAGAAGGAAGAAUCAACAGCUCCUGGUCUCGCCAUCCAUAGAGAAAGGCUAGUUACAACUAAUGUCUGGGUGUCUAGUCUGAACAAAGGAAGGAGUGAUUUGGGGAAGGAAAGACAAGUUCAAGUUUGUAUAUGGCAGGGGGUAUGUGAGCUAUACAUUAAGAGCAACUAUGUCUCAGGUACAUAGAAGUCACAGUUCAGGAGAGAGGUAUUUGGAACCUCCAUACAUGACAGCUAAAACCAUGCAAAUAAAUGAGACAGAUUAUCAGAGACUCAGAACUCUGAGAUCAUCAGAUCCAAGCCAGUAUUAAGGGGCACAUGCAAAGGACCUCAAAGGUGACCCAGGCCAGCCGAGAGAGGAGCUCUGCAAGAGAUGCACAGAUCCCACCACAGCAGUGCCACCACUGGCUUUUCACCUGUCUCAUUGCACUGUCAUCCCACCGAGGGUAGAAAUGGUGAGCUUUACCAUGUUCUCACUACCUAGCAGCCUGGCUAGCACGUCAGCUCUUGUUUCAAUAGAAUAAAGCAGUGACUCACAAGCCAAAAUCAAAAACAGCUCAGAGAGGAAAGAAAGCUCAACUAUGUCAGGUCCUGCCAAGAGGUCAAACAGCCGAAGACUUUAAAAAAUCCCCUUGAUGAGAGGUCACUUUCUCUUAGGGAGAACAGAGACACUUAGGGAGUGGGAGCAAGUGAGCUCAGUGGAGAUGCAGUCUCUCACAGAAUGUGACGUCAAAGGAGGAAGCCUCUUAGCUACAGGGGUGCCACAGGGUUAAAGAAAGAUAAAGACAGAAGAAGUCUGUCCCCAGGAGACUUGGGAGCAAGGAUGAAAUUAGAGACACGGGAAAGACAAGAAAUCAUUAGUCAAGUUAAAAUCCCUUGGAGGAGUGAGGGAUGGUAUCCUAAAUGCAGGUGGGGGUGAACCUUAUAGAGAAGAGACACCUACCUACUUGUUAUGGGAGGAAGGAUAAAAGGUUCAAGAGGGUGCAAGUGAGAUGUGGGGAGGUAGAAAGUUGCAGGAUUUUUUCAGUGAGUGAGCAAACCAGGAUUUCUACUCUCUGUCCUCCUUCUCUUCCAACACCCACAUCCAUUUUGUCAACAUGCUGACCCCACUGUUUAAAGAGAAACUCCUGUCUCCUGCCAUUCCUCCAGUGCUGGCCAGUGGGAUCCCCCUUCCUGGGUUUCUACACCACCCCACAGCUAUUCUUCCCAGGCACCUCCCCCAGUCACCACAGACCUGCUGCAGUGCCGUUUCUGAAACAAAGCUGGCUAUAUCACUCCACAGCUUCAAAUGAUUUGAUGGCUUUCCAUUAUUCUGGGGUCAAAUGAGCUUCCUGUGGCCAUGGAGACCCUGAAUGAUCUCAGCUUCCUCCUGACACUCCCAUCUCUCCCCGCUUCUUGCUCCGAGUGUCACAUUCACUGGCUUGCUCUAUCCCUCAGACACAAGAUACAUGAACUUUUAAAGGCCGUUUUCUUGGCUUGGAAUAUUCUCCACCCAUUCUGCCUCAUUUCCACGGCUCCUUUCCUUGGCUGACUCCCGACUAAUUCACCAAUUUUACAUUUAAAUGCCACUUCUUUCAGAAAGUCUCUUCUGGACUUUCUACCCUGGCUUACACUUUCUUGAUGAGACCUGGUAUGUUAUGAUUCUCACCCCCACAGUGUGUAAGUUCCCUGGAGGUAAAGAACAUGUCUAUUUUGUUUACUCUUUUACAAAGCCCACUCUGCUAUAGCGUCUGGCAGAGUAGAUGUUUGUAUGUGCAUGCUGAAUGAACCAGUGGGUUAAUUCGUCUACUGAAAACAAUGGAUCGAGGGGUUUGGGUGUGUGAAAAAAUAUUUCUUCAUAGAAGGUUCUAUGUAGGGAUUAACAGAAGCCAGGAUUUCUAAGUGCCAUUUAGUGCAGCUAAGAAACCAUUCUAGAUAGCGUUGAUAAUGUGCAUGUGGGAAAGCUCAAAGACAGUGCAGUCAAGGAAUGUUUGAAGGGAUUUCUUCACAAAUGAGCUGAGGGGUGGGAGGGUCAAGUAGGAGCAAAUUAGGAAAUCUAGGGCAAGAGGUCAAGGGGAAAAGGUCAUUAUCAGGUUAAAGCAGUGGUUCUCAAUCUGUGGGUCAUGACCCCUGUGAGGGAAGGCCAUUGAAAAACACAGGUAUUUAUAUUAGGAUUAAUAACA